GCUCUCUCUGGUGUGGAGAUCACGUCCAAGAUUCUCGCCGGCCUCGAUCUGGAACAUAAUCCAGUCAUGUCAGCGUUCGCGGCUCGGGUGGAGCCUGUCACAGUUCAGGAGCUCUACAGUCAGCUCCUGAGCUUUGAUG
rnacentral:snoRNA from 1 species